ensembl:lncRNA
GGGACAGAGCUGGCCUGCCGCAGGUUGUGCUGGGACUCCAGAGACGAAGCCCAGGUGGCCACCUCAGAGUGUCCAUUGUGUCGAGGGGCAGGAGAGUGGGGGCUUGACUCCUUUCUGGAUGCAGGAGACUUCUAGCCUAGACUGUGUGAUCUCUCCUCCCCUGGCAGAGCUGAGGGGCUGAGUCUCCAAGGACUUCUUGGUUCCCUGAUUCUGCAUAAACCUGCCUCCUCUGUGGAUAAUGGGGAAUACAUGCUACUGUGAAGCCUCAGAACAAGCCUAUGGAGGACAAUAUCCUAAUCUUCAGAAAGAAGAAAUAGAUGCCCAGAGAAUACCACAAACCUACCCACGGUCACACACGGGAAGCUGGGCGGCUGUUCCCAUGGAAUCCAUCCCCGGUAGAUGGAGGCAAGAGCAUGCUGACCUGAGUGUGCAAUCACGUGCAUGGAGACACAGGUCUUCACCUAGAGCCAGACAUCCUGGAGUGUGAAGUCAAGUGGGCCUUAGGAAGCAUCACUACAAACAAAGUGAGUGGAGGUGAUGGAAUUCCAGUGGAGCUAUUUCAAAUCUUGAAAGGUGAUGCUGUGAAAAUGCUGCAUUCAAUAUGCCAGCAAAUUUGGAAAACUCACCAGUGGCCACAGGACUGGAAAAGGUCAGUAUUCCAAUCCCUAAGAAAGGCAAUGCCAAAGAAUGCUCAAACUACUACACAAUUGCGCUCACCUCACACGCUAGUAAAGUAAUGUUCAAAAUUCUCCAAGCCAGGCUUAAGCAAUAUGUGAACUGUGAACUACCAGAUGUUGAAGCUGGUUUUAGAAAAGGCAGAGGAACCAGAGAUCAAAUUGCCAACAUCCAUUGGAUCAUCAAAAAAGCAAGGGAGUUCCAGGAAAACAUCUAUUUCUGCUUUAUUGACUAUACCAAAGCCUUCCAAAGCCUUUGACUGUGUGGAUCACAAUAAACUGUGGAAAAUUCUGAAAGAGAUGAGAAUACCAG